ensembl:rRNA 5S_rRNA 5S ribosomal RNA
GUCGGAAAGCAUACCUCCCUGAAGGUUCCUGAUCUCUGAUCUCAAAAGCUAAACAGUGUCAGGCCUGAUUGGGACUGGUAUGGGAGAAGUAGAGACAGUAGGAUUUGUGGCU